GUCCACGCCCUAAACGAUGGCAACUAGGUGUUUGGGAAGCGAUUUCCUGGUACCGCAGCUAACGCGUGAAGUUGCCCGCCUGGGGAGUACGGUCGCAAGAUUAAAACUCAAAGGAAUUGACGGGGACCCGCACAAGCGGUUGAUGAUGUGGAUUAAUUCGAUGCAACGCGAAUAACCUUACCUACCCUUGACAUGUACGGAACCCUGCAGAGAUGUGGGGGUGCUUGAAAGAGAGCCGUAACACAGGUGCUGCAUGGCUGUCGU
rnacentral:rRNA from 1 species